rnacentral:rRNA from 1 species
AUGUCUCUCAUCCACCUCCACCUCCACCGCCGCCUCUUCUCCUCCACCGCGCGGCCCUCGCGACCCUCGCGUGCCUGGUCUCCCCACGCCGCCUUUGCUGCGGCCACGGAGCGCGUCCGCGCCGGGAAUUUCAGCUGGGAAGACGCACACAACCUGUUCGACGAAUUGCUACGGCGGGCCACCCCGGUCCCCAAGCGCUCCCUCGACGGCUUCCUUGCCGCCCUCGCCCGUGCGCACGCCUCCGAAGCCUGCAGAGAUGGUCCCGCCCUCGCCCUCGCUCUCUUCAACCUCGUCUGCCGGGAUGAAUCCGGCGCGCGGGUGGCACCGCCCACAAUCUUCACGUACGGCAUUCUCAUGAACUGCUGCUGUCGUGCGCAUUGCCCGGACCUAGGGCUAGCCUUCUUCGGGCGCCUCCUCAGGACGGGCCUGAAGGCUGACCUGAUAGUCGCCAACACCCUCCUUAAGUGUCUCUGCCACGCGAAACGGACGGAUGAGGCUGUGAACGUGCUGCUUCAUAGGAUGUCCAAGCUCGGCUGUGUGCCUGAUACCUUCUCAUACAACAUUGUUCUCAAGAGCUUAUGCGACAAUGGCAUGAGCCAGCAGGCGCUCGACCUGCUCCAUAUGAUGGCGAAAGAAGGAGGUGGCUGCCCCCCUGACGUGGUGGCGUAUAGCACAGUCAUCCAUGGCUUCUUUAAGGAAGGUGAAACAGGCAAGGCAUGCAAUCUGUUCCAUGAAAUGAUGCAUCAAGGUGUUGAGCCCAAUGUGUGGACAUAUAGUUCAAUCAUUGAUGCAUUGUGCAAGGCCAGAGCAAUGGACAAGACAGAGCUAGUGCUUCAGCAGAUGGUUAACAAAGGUGUUCAACCCGAUAAUGUGACAUAUAAUUGCAUGAUCCAUGGAUAUUCCACAUCUGGGAGGUGGAAAGAGGCUGUUAAAUUGUUUAGAGAAAUGAAAAGCCGGGGCCUUAUACCAGAUAUUUCUACUUGCAACUCCUUAAUGACUUACCUUUGUAAGCAUGGAAGAAGCAAAGAAGGUGCAGAAUUUUUUGAUGCCAUGACUGCCAAAGGGCACAGAGAUGUCAUCUCCUACUGUAUUUUGCUUCAUGGGUAUGCCAAUGAAGGAUGCUUUGCUGAUAUGAUUGAUCUCUUUAAUUCAAUGGAAAGAAACGGUAUUGCUGCCAACUGCUAUGUUUUCAACAUAUUAAUUAAUGGAUAUGCUAAAUGUGGAAUGACGGAUGAAGCUAUGCUGAUAUUUACAGAAAUGUGGGAAAAAGGAGUGAGUCCCAAUGUAGUCACAUAUUCCACUGUAAUAGCUGCACUUUCCAGGAUGGGUAGGUUGACUGAUUCUAUGGACAAAUUUAAUCAGAUGAUUGCCAUGGGAAUUCAGCCAAACACAGCUGUUUAUCACUCCCUAAUUCAGGGUUGUCUUAUGCAUGGUGGCUUGGUUAAAGCUAAGGAGCUGAUGUUUGAUAUGAUGAACAAAGGUAUUCCUCGUCCUAACAUUGUUUUCUUCAGUUCAGUAAUAAACAGUCUGUGCAAAGAAGGAAGGGUUAUGGAUGCACAUGCUGUCUUUGACUUGGCUAUAGGCAUAGGUGAGAGGCCUGAUGUCAUUACAUUUAAUUCACUGAUUGACGGAUAUUGCUUAGUUGGGAAGAUGGAUACAGCAUUCAAAAUACUUGAUGUCAUGGAAUUAGUUGGUGUUGAGCCUGAUGUUGUUACUUAUAGUGCACUUCUUGAUGGCUAUUUUAAAAACAGAAGGAUUGAUGAUGCUUUGACUUUUUUUAGAGAAAUGCCAUGUAAGAGAAUUAAACCUAACACUGUUACAUAUGGCAUCAUGUUGGGUGGGUUGUUUCGUGCUGGGAGAACUGUUGCUGCAAUGAAAAUGUUCCAUGAGAUGAUUGAAAGUGGAGCAACAGUGCGCAUUUCCACAUACAAUAUAAUACUUGGAGGUCUUUGUCAAACUAAUUGUGUAGACGAAGCGAUUGCACUGUUCCAGAAAUUACGAGCAAUGAAUGUGAAGUUCAAUAUUGAAACACUCAAUACCAUGAUUAAUGCAAUGUACAAGGUUCAAAGAAAAGAAGAAGCUAAGGAUUUGUUUGCUGCAAUACCAGCUAGUGGGUUGGUGCCCAAUGAAUCUACUUAUGCAGUAAUGAUAAGAAAUCUUCUAAAAGACGGAGCAGUGGAAGAUGCUGACAAUAUGUUUUCAUCAAUGGACAACAGUGGGGUAACGACUUCUGAUGGCGAUUUUGGGGAAGAUUCAGCUAUUUCUCCUCAUGAUGUAAGUAAAGCUUACAGAGCCAUCCGACUUGCGAAUCUCGCCAGUCCUUGCUUGGUCUGCCUGCUCGAUCCGGCUUUGGCCGCCAGUCCACCAGCUGGAUCUUCGGGGACAGGCGACUCGUGGUCUGUCAUCACCACUGAUGAUGGUGAGGACAACAUCAUGUCCAGACAACAUUCCAUUCUUCCUGCAAACCAUGGUGGUUGGGCUGCUGGUGGCCAUGGUGAAGGAGAAGGUUUCCAGCUACAUCCUAGACUGGUACGAGGUGAUGAAGGGCAUGGGGACACAGCACAAGAUCCUGAAGUGAAGCUGCUCCCAGUCAUCCUGGAGUCAUCACCGAGGCCGAGAAGGCAGCAGCCCACAGAGAAGGGAUCAAGGCCUAGCUCAAGGAUUUCAUGGUGGCUUACAAGGAGAAUGAAGUCAGUCUUCGACGAGUUCAAGGCCGGCACCCAAGCAGUGGCGCUUUGUGUUGGUGAUAACUUGCAACCAAGAAUCAUGAGUACAGUUCAAGCCGAUGACAUUGCAGUUUUUGAUAAGAAACUCAUAAAGAAGGUCGACUUCACUGAUGCUGAUGAGCAACCAGAACCUCGUCCAGGCAAGCACAAGAGGAAACCCAUUUCCGUUGAGACUUUGAUGCGAAAGAGCGUAGCUGCUCCGGCGUACGUUGACAGAACUGAGUAUCUGUCAGGUUGA